rnacentral:rRNA from 1 species
AUUGAACGCUGGCGGCAUGCUUUACACAUGCAAGUCGAACGGUAACAGGGAGCUUGCUCCGCUGACGAGUGGCGAACGGGUGAGUAAUGCGUCGGAACGUGCCGAGUAGUGGGGGAUAACGCAUCGAAAGGUGUGCUAAUACCGCAUACGUACUGAGGUAGAAAGUGGGGGACCUUCGGGCCUCACGCUAUUCGAGCGGCCGACGUCUGAUUAGCUAGUUGGUGAGGUAAAGGCUCACCAAGGCGACGAUCAGUAGCGGGUCUGAGAGGAUGAUCCGCCACACUGGGACUGAGACACGGCCCAGACUCCUACGGGAGGCAGCAGUGGGGAAGUUUGGACAAUGGGCGCAAGCCUGAUCCAGCCAUGCCGCGUGUCUGAAGAAGGCCUUCGGGUUGUAAAGGACUUUUGUCCGGGAGCAAAUGCCUGGUGUUAAUAGCACUGGGAGCUGAGAGUACCGGAAGAAUAAGCACCGGCUAACUACGUGCCAGCCGCCGCUUAACAC